rnacentral:rRNA from 1 species
AGUCGACCCCUAAGGCGAGGCUGAAAAGCGUAGUCGAUGGGAAACAGGUUAAUAUUCCUGUACUUGGUGUUACUGCGAAGGGGGGACGGAGAAGGCUAGGCUAGCCGGGCGACGGUUGUCCCGGUUUAAGCGUGUAGGGGGUGUGACCUGGUAAAUCCGGUUACAUACUAACCCUGAGGCGUGAUGACGAUGCACUACGGUGCAGAAGUAGUUGAUGCCCUGCUUCCAGGAAAAGCCUCUAAGCAUCAGGUAACAUUGAAUCGUACCCCAAACCGACACAGGUGGUCAGGUAGAGAAUACCAAGGCGCUUGAGAGAACUCGGGUGAAGGAACUAGGCAAAAUGGUGCCGUAACUUCGGGAGAAGGCACGCUGGCAUGUAGGUGAAGUCCCUCGCGGAUGGAGCUGAAGCCAGUCGAAGAUACCAGCUGGCUGCAACUGUUUAAUAAAAACACAGCACUGUGCAAACACGAAAGUGGACGUAUACGGUGUGACGCCUGCCCGGUGCUGGAAGGUUAAUUGAUGGGGUCAGCCGCAAGGCGAAGCUCUUGAUCGAA